UAUUAUAUAUCUACCAGAUGAAUUACUCUACCGCGUCGUUUCGAACGUAUUUUCCACUGUUCUUAUUCAGGAGUUUCCUCUGGCGAGACUGCAGAGCCCUAGUCUAGGACUGGUGAAACACAGGAUGCAUAAUUAAAUGAAUCUUUGCCUUAAUAUAUGAGCUAACAGCAAAGAGCAGCUGCUUUUUUAAGGCAAGCAGCAGAAUUGUUGAAUGUCAACACAAGUGACAGGAGUACACAAUACCAGCACCUGCAUCAGUAACCUCAGUCAGUAGCACUAGUGCUGCAAAGGCAAUUUUUGCACCCGACAGUAAAAGAAGGAGGCAUGGACAAGCAAAUACAGGAACUGUUGCAGUGCCAGCACUGGACUAUUAUACCCAGGUGUAAUAAGGUCCCUGGUUACAACUAAUGACCACCUGUUGAAGGAGCUAGACUAGACCCGGCAGAGACUCAAGCACAGAGGUGAAUCAGAUUAACUGGAGCUACAAGCAGCUCAAAAAAAACCUUCAGAGACCAGUCUAAAUGUUCUGAUAAUGAUAAUAGAGUGUGCUUUGUGUUUUAUUGCUAAUAAUUUGGCUGCUCUGUAUCCAAUAUCUGAAGUGGUAUUUUAUUAAGAUUUAGAAAAAAAUAAGGCUUUAUGCAUGUGUGUGAAGUGUCGUCCCAGAUUAGCUUAUGUUGUCCACACAUGAUUAUCUGGGACAACACUUUCGGCCUAGACUGGAUUUUAUAUUUCAAAAUACUUUCUUUAAACAAAAAAUCUCAUAAAACCAGAAAGUGUCUUCCCUGAUUAGCCUGUGCAGACUGUACAAGUUAAUCUGCCACGACACUUUAGGAACAUGCAUUAAACCCCAUUUUCCCAGAGCAAGGUCAAAUUGUAUUUAUUUCCUUUCAAUAUUCACAUCCCCUUUAUUUUAGGAUCAUACUGAUUCUAAAUGCCUAUUUAUUGUAAGCUGAAUAUUCAGUCAUAACCAAAAAGUGUCAUAAGAUCUUUGUUAAGACAGGACCCAGAAUUCUAGCAUUUAAUGACGUUAUGUGCUUUUCCGCACUUAUUCUAUGUCUUUUAUAAGUAAAAGGUGAACACUAGCAACAAUAUAAUUUGCUACCAAAAAUGUUUUCCAUAUAUUAUUUCUUUUACAUGAAAGAAGUUAACAUGUGUAAAAAAGUUUGGCAAACAAACUGACAGGUAACAAUCAGUUUAUUUGUUGUGCAUCCAGGCAUUUACAUAUAACCAGACAGUAGUGCAAUCUAACAUAUGUAUGUAUAUGUAGGUUUUUAACUUAUAUUGCACCAGUUUAUAGAUUGUUUUGAAAACAAUUGUAUGAUCAUGGUAAAGUUACAUAUGUCUAGUCAUAAGCAGUAUGUGUGGGAUACACUAGCAACAGGACCGUAGGGAUCAUUUUGUUUUCAGAUGAUGUUUAUGUAAUGUGUGUUUCAUCCUAAUAUUUAUUUAACCAGUAUGCCAUGUAAUACAUAUAUUUUCUAAUAAAAUUGUAAAAAAAGUU